rnacentral:lncRNA from 1 species
AGAAACCAAGGCCUCCUCUUCGGCAGGGAGGUGGUUACAAAGAAACAUACUCAACGCAGAAGGAAUGAACACACGGCGGAACGUCACUGUCGGCAAAUCCAGCGCUUUGAGCAGUCUGAGGCAGGAGAGUCACUGGUUCAAGGCUGAAAAUGUAGUUGUUCAUAGAGUGCUUGCCUAGCAUGCAUGAAGUCCCAGGUUCAAGCCUCAGCAGCAUAGAAACAAACAAACAAAACUCAGGACAUACCGACUCACACUUGGAAUCCCAGCAUUGGGAACAGAACACAGGAGGAUUACUGUGAGCUGGAGGCCAGCCAGGACUACAUAGCAAGACCCCUCCUAUCCCUCUAAAAUUUCUGUUUUAAAAAAGGAAUUCAUUUUAUUUUAAUAAGUUUUUAUUAUUCCUUUAUGUGUAUGACUGUUUAUAUCUGUGUACCGUGUAUGUGCCUGAAGUCUGGGGAGGUAAGAAGAGGGCAUUAGAUCCCCUGGAACUGGAGUUACUACCAGAUGUGAUGCCAUGUAGGUGCUGGGAACCAAACCAGGUCCGCUGCGAGAAACGUUCUUGACCAUUAAGCUCUCUCUUCAUCCCCCAGUAAAUGCUUUUGGAAAUUUUAUUUAUUUAUGUGUGUGUGUAGGUCAGAG